AAAUUGAAGAGUUUGAUCAUGGCUCAGAUUGAACGCUGGCGGCAGGCCUAACACAUGCAAGUCGAACGGUAACAGGAAGCAGCUUGCUGCUUUGCUGACGAGUGGCGGACGGGUGAGUAAUGUCUGGGAAACUGCCUGAUGGAGGGGGAUAACUACUGGAAACGGUGGCUAAUACCGCAUAACGUCGCAAGACCAAAGAGGGGGACCUUCGGGCCUCUUGCCAUCAGAUGUGCCCAGAUGGGAUUAGCUUGUUGGUGAGGUAACGGCUCACCAAGGCGACGAUCCCUAGCUGGUCUGAGAGGAUGACCAGCCACACUGGAACUGAGACACGGUCCAGACUCCUACGGGAGGCAGCAGUGGGGAAUAUUGCACAAUGGGCGCAAGCCUGAUGCAGCCAUGCCGCGUGUAUGAAGAAGGCCUUCGGGUUGUAAAGUACUUUCAGCGGGGAGGAAGGUGUUGCGGUUAAUAACCGCAGCAAUUGACGUUACCCGCAGAAGAAGCACCGGCUAACUCCGUGCCAGCAGCCGCGGUAAUACGGAGGGUGCAAGCGUUAAUCGGAAUUACUGGGCGUAAAGCGCACGCAGGCGGUCUGUCAAGUCGGAUGUGAAAUCCCCGGGCUCAACCUGGGAACUGCAUUCGAAACUGGCAGGCUUGAGUCUUGUAGAGGGGGGUAGAAUUCCAGGUGUAGCGGUGAAAUGCGUAGAGAUCUGGAGGAAUACCGGUGGCGAAGGCGGCCCCCUGGACAAAGACUGACGCUCAGGUGCGAAAGCGUGGGGAGCAAACAGGAUUAGAUACCCUGGUAGUCCACGCCGUAAACGAUGUCUACUUGGAGGUUGUGCCCUUGAGGCGUGGCUUCCGGAGCUAACGCGUUAAGUAGACCGCCUGGGGAGUACGGCCGCAAGGUUAAAACUCAAAUGAAUUGACGGGGGCCCGCACAAGCGGUGGAGCAUGUGGUUUAAUUCGAUGCAACGCGAAGAACCUUACCUGGUCUUGACAUCCACAGAAGAAUCCAGAGAUGGAUUUGUGCCUUCGGGAACUGUGAGACAGGUGCUGCAUGGCUGUCGUCAGCUCGUGUUGUGAAAUGUUGGGUUAAGUCCCGCAACGAGCGCAACCCUUAUCCUUUGUUGCCAGCGAUUAGGUCGGGAACUCAAAGGAGACUGCCAGUGAUAAACUGGAGGAAGGUGGGGAUGACGUCAAGUCAUCAUGGCCCUUACGACCAGGGCUACACACGUGCUACAAUGGCGCAUACAAAGAGAAGCGACCUCGCGAGAGCAAGCGGACCUCAUAAAGUGCGUCGUAGUCCGGAUUGGAGUCUGCAACUCGACUCCAUGAAGUCGGAAUCGCUAGUAAUCGUGGAUCAGAAUGCCACGGUGAAUACGUUCCCGGCCUUGUACACACCGCCCGUCACACCAUGGGAGUGGGUUGCAAAAGAAGUAGGUAGCUUAACCUUCGGGAGGGCGCUUACCACUUUGUGAUUCAUGACUGGGGUGAAGUCGUAACAAGGUAACCGUAGGGGAACCUGCGGUUGGAUCACCUCCUUACCUUAAAGAAGC
rnacentral:rRNA from 1 species